GCGACUGCUUUGGGAUUCUACCACCAGCCGAUUUCACCCGUCUAACCUCACACAACAAAGCUGUUUAAGAUGGCACUAUCCAGGGGAAAGAGGAUAGUGGAACUGGUGUUGAAAAUAAAAUACCCAGCCAACAGGAAGAAAGCAGAGUGGAGGGGAACUGGGGGGGGCAGCCUCCCCCAGACUACACCUCUGCAGAGGAGCUGGCCCUCUCCAACAACGAAGCUCAGCCCUUAAUGGAGGGGAUCCAAGAGGGGGUGUGCUCCGACCCUGGUGCUGGCAGCUCCAAACAGGGUGUGACUGAGGUGAUGCUCACCACCUUGGAUACUGGACCGGUACAUGCUAAAGUUAUUCCUCCCUCAUUUACAGUUCAAGGGAAUACUGUGGUGUUUUAAAGCCUAGCUCAAAUACCAUGACAUCUGCAGAAAGAGAUACCUGUUCAAGGUUCAUGGUUAUGUACUCGCAACACACUAUUGUUUUCUGGCCAUAUAAUGAAUUUACUUAAUGCAGAACACUCAAAUCUGUUCUCAAGUGGAGGUUAAUAACAAGUGAUGCAGUGUGCCAGGGAACACCACAAACGCAUGAAGUAGUUCUCUAAGGCCAAAUGGCACGGCAGUCUAUUUGUUUGCUGAUUU